rnacentral:rRNA from 1 species
GGAAAACGGGCGGCAGGCUUACACAUGCAAGUCGAGCGGUAGCACAGGGGAGCUUGCUCCCUGGGUGACGAGCGGCGGACGGGUGAGUAAUGUCUGGGAAACUGCCUGAUGGAGGGGGAUAACUACUGGAAACGGUAGCUAAUACCGCAUAACGUCGCAAGACCAAAGAGGGGGACCUUCGGGCCUCUUGCCAUCAGAUGUGCCCAGAUGGGAUUAGCUAGUAGGUGGGGUAAUGGCUCACCUAGGCGACGAUCCCUAGCUGGUCUGAGAGGAUGACCAGCCACACUGGAACUGAGACACGGUCCAGACUCCUACGGGAGGCAGCAGUGGGGAAUAUUGCACAAUGGGCGCAAGCCUGAUGCAGCCAUGCCGCGUGUGUGAAGAAGGCCUUCGGGUUGUAAAGCACUUUCAGCGAGGAGGAAGGUGGUGAACUUAAUACGUUCAUCAAUUGACGUUACUCGCAGAAGAAGCACCGGCUAACUCCGUGCCAGCAGCCGCGGUAAUACGGAGGGUGCAAGCGUUAAUCGGAAUUACUGGGCGUAAAGCGCACGCAGGCGGUUUGUUAAGUCAGAUGUGAAAUCCCCGGGCUCAACCUGGGAACUGCAUUUGAAACUGGCAAGCUAGAGUCUCGUAGAGGGGGGUAGAAUUCCAGGUGUAGCGGUGAAAUGCGUAGAGAUCUGGAGGAAUACCGGUGGCGAAGGCGGCCCCCUGGACGAAGACUGACGCUCAGGUGCGAAAGCGUGGGGAGCAAACAGGAUUAGAUACCCUGGUAGUCCACGCUGUAAACGAUGUCGAUUUGGAGGUUGUGCCCUUGAGGCGUGGCUUCCGGAGCUAACGCGUUAAAUCGACCGCCUGGGGAGUACGGCCGCAAGGUUAAAACUCAAAUGAAUUGACGGGGGCCCGCACAAGCGGUGGAGCAUGUGGUUUAAUUCGAUGCAACGCGAAGAACCUUACCUACUCUUGACAUCCAGAGAACUUUCCAGAGAUGGAUUGGUGCCUUCGGGAACUCUGAGACAGGUGCUGCAUGGCUGUCGUCAGCUCGUGUUGUGAAAUGUUGGGUUAAGUCCCGCAACGAGCCCAACCCUUAUCCUUUGUUGCCAUCGGUUCGGCCGGGAACUCAAAGGAAACUGCCAGUGAUAAACUGGAAGAAGGUGGGGAUGACGUCAAGUCAUCAAGGCCCUUACGAGUAGGGCUACCACGUUCUACAAUG